rnacentral:rRNA from 1 species
UGCAUCGGAACGUGCCCUGAAGUGGGGGAUAACGCAGCGAAAGCUACGCUAAUACCGCAUAUUCUGUGAGCAGGAAAGCAGGGGAUCGCAAGACCUUGCGCUUUGGGAGCGGCCGAUGUCGGAUUAGCUAGUUGGUGGGGUAAAGGCCUACCAAGGCGACGAUCCGUAGCGGGUCUGAGAGGAUGAUCCGCCACACUGGGACUGAGACACGGCCCAGACUCCUACGGGAGGCAGCAGUGGGGAAUUUUGGACAAUGGGCGGAAGCCUGAUCCAGCCAUGCCGCGUGAGUGAAGAAGGCCUUCGGGUUGUAAAGCUCUUUCGGCGGGGAAGAAAUUGCUUGGGUUAAUACCCUGAGUAGAUGACGGUACCCGAAUAAGAAGCACCGGCUAACUACGUG